GUAUUGGUUUCAAAGCAGAAGAGUGGUACAGAGUAAGCAAUGAGGGUUAAGUCCAGGGUCACAAAGCUAGCAAGUGUCAGAGGUCAAAUUUGAACCCAGGCCCUCCCCUCUCUAGGCCUGGCCGUCAAUCUAUUGUCACUAGCUGUUUCCAGGAAUUUUUUUAAUAGCAGGCUAAAUGGAGAAGAUCUUGAAUAUCUAAGAUAGAUUUGGGAAAAGUAAAUGUUUUGUAAACCUUGCAAUAUGAGUUAAUUCGUUUAACAUGAAUCAUUUUAAUAUUCUUUCUGCUAGAUUGUAAGGCUUCCAAGGGGUCUUUUUUGGUCUAGUCUGGGAACCUAAUCACCCCUUAAUGUCAUUUUCCUAGGAAAAUGCAAACAAAAGCACUUGGAGACCCAGUCUUAGGUUGAAGGUUUCUCCCACCCAGCUGGGAAGAGGGCUCAGCUCUUCUUCUCCAGUACCCCGCCCUCUUGCCUUCUUCUCCCCACUCCCUCCCUCCCUCGCUCUCUCAGUGACGUGCCGCAGCGGCCUCUAUCACACAGGCUCUGGGGGAACAUGCGCAUUGCCGCCACUUGUUUCUCUGCUAGUCUGAUCUCGCCUCAGCUCUUGUCAGUCUCCGCUGUGCGGGUCAGUGUGCGGACUGCUUAGGCUGCAGUGCCCUAUCGGGAAUGUGACUGACCCGUUCUGGGAGGUUUGGUGGCUUGGCUGUGCGUCUUCCACGCCUCUACUCUUCCUCGUCUCCUUUUCUACUAAAGAAAGAAAGAAAAGAAAAGAAAACCCAGCAAGUUCCAUCAGACUGGAGCCACGCUCCAGAGGCUCCCACAACCGUGCAGCUUCUUUACAGGCGGCGGCAGCGGCAGCGGCACCACCAGCGGGAGUCGCCAGAAGCUGCUCGGGGUCGCGUGCCGGUCCUGCGGAACCCCGCAGCCCAAGCCGCUGCUUGCUGCCCCACUGCGGGCUGUGGCUCCGGAGCCCGUGCCCGCUCCAAGGCUGAGUGCGGACCGCGCCAGCCGCCUCUCCCACCAUCUCCACUGUAAGCACUGUCUUCUCCUGCGCUCCUGCUCCAGCUUCUGCUCCGACCCAGUCAGGCUGGGCUGGGGCUCCCCUCCGCAAUCCUUGCUGCCACCCUCGAGCCUAGGCUGGCGCUGCUGCUGCUGCAGCUGCAGGAGUCUGGAGUCCAAUGAUGCCUUCCUUCUAUUACAGAUAAAUACGUUGUGACCUCUGACAAAGUGACUUCCAGACUCUGUAAAUCUCUAUUUGGCCCAACAGAGGGAUAAAGUGAUGUAAACUAUACCUUGAAGUCUGAUGUGACCUUCAGACUCUGGGUUUAAGAUCUCUACACAGUCCCUGGCACAAAGUCAACUUUAAAUAAAUUCUCAUUGACUGUCUGACUGCUUUCUUCA
rnacentral:lncRNA from 1 species